rnacentral:rRNA from 1 species
GAACGCUAGCGACAGGCUAACACAUGCAAGUCGAGGGGCAGCAUAAAAGUAGCAAUACUUGGUGGCGACCGGCGCACGGGUGAGUAACGCGUAUGCAACCUACCUAUCAGAGGGGAAUAACCCGGCGAAAGUCGGACUAAUACCGCAUAAAACAGGGGCACCGCAUGGUGAUAUUGUUAAAGAAAUUCGCUGAUAGAUGGGCAUGCGUUCCAUUAGGUAGUUGGUGAGGUAACGGCUCACCAAGCCGACGAUGGAUAGGGGAACUGAGAGGUUGGUCCCCCACAUUGGUACUGAGACACGGACCAGACUCCUACGGGAGGCAGCAGUGAGGAAUAUUGGUCAAUGGGCGGGAGCCUGAACCAGCCAAGUCGCGUGAAGGAAGAAGGAUCUAUGGUUCGUAAACUUCUUUGCAGGGGAAUAAAGUGCAGGACGUGUCCUGUUUUGUAUGUACCCUGAGAAUAAGGAUCGGCUAACUCCGUGCCAGCCGCCGC